AUAAUGAGACUCCUGUCCAGCCACAGUCCGAGCGUGAUAUGCCCUGCUUCAGGGUGAUGCCGUCGCAGGCAAUGGGGGCAGCCGAUUUGUAGAGAUCCUACCGGGGGUGCAAUUCCCGUGG
rfam:Eubacterium cylindroides T2-87 draft genome.